rnacentral:lncRNA from 1 species
CGGCCUCCUUUCGACCUCCUGCAAGAAUCGGACCCCGUCCGAACUUUCACAGCGGAUGGAUUCUGAACGAGCUUCUGCAAGGAUCGGACUCCGUCCGAACUUUCACAGUGGAUGGAUUUCGAACGAGCUUCUGCAAGGAUCGGACUCCGUCUGAACUUUCAUAGUGGAUGGAUUCUGGACGAGCUCCUGCAAGAACCGAACUCUGUCCGAACUUUCACAGC